rnacentral:tRNA from 3 species
AGAUAAAUAGUUUACUAAGAAUAUACGCCUUGGGAGUGUAGGGUCUACUUUUAUAAGUAGUUUGUCUG